GAGACCCGUGCCCACUGUUACCAGCAUAUCCUCCGGGAUGAUGGGUACUCUGUGGGGACCGCCGGUGUUAAAUCGGAGGAAGGUGCGGGCCACGGUAGGUCAGUAUGCCCCGAAUCUCCCGGGCUACACGCGGGCUACAAUGGAUGGGACAAUGGGUCCCUCCCCCGAAAGGGGCUGGCAAUCUCAUAAACCCAUCCCUAGUUCGGAUCGAGGGCUGUAACUCGCCCUCGUGAAGCUGGAAUCCGUAGUAAUCGCGUUUCAAUAUAGCGCGGUGAAUAC
rnacentral:rRNA from 1 species